rnacentral:rRNA from 1 species
AUUGAACGCUGGCGGCAGGCCUAACACAUGCAAGUCGAGCGGAUGAAGGGAGCUUGCUCCUGGAUUCAGCGGCGGACGGGUGAGUAAUGCCUAGGAAUCUGCCUGGUAGUGGGGGAUAACGUCCGGAAACGGGCGCUAAUACCGCAUACGUCCUGAGGGAGAAAGUGGGGGAUCUUCGGACCUCACGCUAUCAGAUGAGCCUAGGUCGGAUUAGCUAGUUGGUGGGGUAAAGGCCUACCAAGGCGACGAUCCGUAACUGGUCUGAGAGGAUGAUCAGUCACACUGGAACUGAGAAACGGUCCAGACGCCUACGGGAGGCAGCAGUGGGGAAUAUUGGCAAAUGGGCGAAAGCCUGAUCCAGCCAUGCCGCGUGUGUGAAGAAGGUCUUCGGAUUGUAAAGCACUUUAAGUUGGGAGGAAGGGCAGUAAGUUAAUACCUUGCUGUUUUGACGUUACCAAAAGAAUAAGCACCGGCUAACUGCGU